rnacentral:rRNA from 1 species
AGUGAACGCUGGCGGUAGGCCUAACACAUGCAAGUCGAACGGCAGCACAGUAAGAGCUUGCUCUUACGGGUGGCGAGUGGCGGACGGGUGAGGAAUACAUCGGAAUCUACUUUUUCGUGGGGGAUAACGUAGGGAAACUUACGCUAAUACCGCAUACGACCUACGGGUGAAAGCAGGGGAUCUUCUGACCUUGCGCGAUUGAAUGAGCCGAUGUCGGAUUAGCUAGUUGGCGGGGUAAAGGCCCACCAAGGCGACGAUCCGUAGCUGGUCUGAGAGGAUGAUCAGCCACACUGGAACUGAGACAAGGUCCAGAAUCCUAAGGGAGGCAGCAGUGGGGAAUAUUGGACAAUGGGCGCAAGCCUGAUCCAGCCAUACCGCGUGGGUGAAGAAGGCCUUCGGGUUGUAAAGCCCUUUUGUUGGGAAAGAAAAGCAGCAGGUUAAUACCCCGCUGUUCUGACGGUACCCAAAGAAUAAGCACCGGCUAACUUCGUG